CCUUUUGAGAUGAAACUUGAGAUAUUUGAGGAUGCUACGACUUGGCAGAAAUGUGCAACUCAUGCAGAUCAAGUCUGACAAAUGUGUGAUCACUGUCUUCUGUCAAUCCUGAACUUCCACAUAUUUCUACUGCUCUGAAGAAAGGCUCUCAACAGCUUUUGUAGUUUUGAAAUUUAGGAUCUGAUAAUUUUUCUCCAUGACGAAGGCUUCCACUAAGAAAAAAGGAAAUAAGUAUCAUCCAUCUAGAACACAACAUUCUUGCAAGAGAAGAUGAAUGGCAAAAUAUUAAGACGAAUUUUCUGUCUACCGUAUUGCUAAGGGACUUAAAAAAUAGGCUUCUCUUUUCAGGAGUAUUACUUGUAUUUCGACUUACCACAGCAUUCUGUGGAUUGCCUGCUCAUCAUGCAUCUCUCGGAUCUCUUGCUCUGUGGACGCAUGGACUUGACUCAGAACACUAAACCACUGGCUGUGGAGAGAAAGGCAGCAGCCUAUGGAAGCCCUUGGAGAGGUGGCAGGAGUUACUCAGAAAAAAAGAAAGCACGCAAUCUGCAGAGGCCUGGCAGGGAGGAUCGUUGACAGUGAUAACCUGAGUGACUGCAGGACCAUCCAUGUGAAACAGACGAUUAAAGAGCAUUUGGAAAAAGAGGGAUUUCAGAUUUGGAGCAGCUCUGGCAGAGUCCCAGGGCAGCACCAGAAGGUGCAACUCACAGCAGAGUCCCCAGCUGGAACUUUUCAUGGACCCUCCUUCUCCACCUGUGAGUAAUCCAUUGCCAUUUCAUCUGAGGUCAUCCUAAUUAAAACCUCCAACCCGUGCAGACUAAACCCAAAUCUGGCCUCAUUCUUCCCACAUUGUGAUCGGUCAGCAGGCCUCUCCUGAAGAGAAUCAAUCAGGCUGCCUGAUAGCUACAGACAUACCAUGAAGAAACACACUGUGAGGUACUAAUUGCAAGGACAGCUGUCCUUCCUUAUCAACUGCGUGUCAGGACAGCCAACACCAGUGUCACCAUUGUUCAUAACAAUGGUCAAGAGAACAAUGUCACAUGCCUGUGCCAUACUUACACUGCUCCAUGUCUGCUAAGCCUGCAUACAAACCAACUGCACAUGGUGAAAUCCUGACUGUCCAGGUCAGUGGUGACUCUAGAUAACUUACACAGACAAGGAUUCCACCCAUGUUUUGUUUUCAUUUUUUUCACCAUACUUUUAGUCAUUUACAGCAGACUUUUCGACUAUGACUUUUUUUUUUUUUUUAAACUUGACAGCUUAUUGGAAGGCUGGCCGUAAGUCCAUUUCUGUAUCUAAAAGCAGUAAAUCCUAUUUUAGGAUCGUUACUAUAAUGGGAUUUUUUCUUGCCUAUGUGGCACAGAUAAUUUAGUAUCAUGCUUUUAUUCUUGAAAGAUCCAAAGGUUUAUGAAGGGUAGAAAAUUAGGACAAAAAUACUUGAGAACCUGUUACUAAGAUGAAUUAAUUUCAUCUUACAUGGCCAAAGUCUGACAUAGGUGUAAAACCAUUUCUUGUAACUAUCCCUGUAAGAACCUAAUCCUGUCUACUUUUUUAUGUCUACUGUAGUGUUACUACAAGUAAUCUCACACUUUAGUCUGUGAAACCCUCCAAGUAGCUAGUUCUCACUAAAAUGCUAACACAGUAUUACUUCAGCAGUAGUACUGUGUUAAGCAUCCUGAAAUAGUACUGCAGACGACUUUUGUCACCACUGUUGCAAUUCUCCUUGCUUUCCCUGGGUGACACAAAACUAAGCAAGCCUUUUAUACAGGCUGCAGCUCCAUAGGAAGGGAGAAGAUACAGGGAUAUUAUCUCCUCUUCUCUAUUGCAAGUAAGUAGAAAGAGGCAGAAAUGGCUGGGAAUAACUUCACUUCCAGCCACAAGAGCUUACUGGCUACAUGUGGGUGGAAGGAGCUAACAUUGCACUCACAGGAGGACAAAGAUACCAGCUCAUGAAGCACAAGGAGAGCAGCAGAGGAACUGUAAAUCCAAAUCAUAAUAAUCUGAGUUUGAGUCCCAGGGCACCAACCUGCCACUUUCUCUUGAUCUGGUCACACUCUCUUCCUUUAGGACUGCACACCUGAAUGCCAUUUAGGACUCGAGUCUUCUAUUUUGGGGCAUUGCUCUUAAGAGAAUGAUGAAAACUCUCUGGUAUUUAAGAAGUCAGUUUAGUGAUUUGUGGACUCAGCUGUGUGACUGCGACUGAAAUAUUGCAUCCAAAUCUGAAGUACAAUAAAGGAAGAUGCUAAACUGGAAAGCACUUAGAGAGGAGCCAUGAGAAUAAAGAUCAGACUGAAAAAAAGCAGCAAGGGACUUCAAUAAGAGCCUUGAGAAGCUCAUCAGUGAGAAAUCUGCAAGGCCUUGAUGAUAAUCUGUAAGUAGCUAAACCUAGAGUUUACCUUCAACAACAGUUUCUAAAAUGUAGCAGAUAAAGACAAAGAGCAUGAAAAUCAACAGAAGACAUAUUUAAACUAAAAGGCAUGACUUCCCCUCCCCCCCCCCCGACUGUGUUAACUGGAAUAGCUUACUCCUGAUGGUGGGACCCUCUAAGACCACUAGAACUAGACCCUUCAAGAAAAUGCCGGACUUCCUUCUUCCAGCAGGUGCUAUUUUCCCUACAGUUUGCCAUGCAGCUGGUUCAACUAAAUGAUCUCAGUGGUCCCCUUUCAGCACUCUAUUUGUGGAAAAAAUGCUAAUUUAUUUAUUUAAAAAGCUCAGUGCUGGCUUCUAUAACCUUUGGUAUGGGAAUUCCCAAACACGGACUUUGCAUCGAGGAUAGGAAGGAGACACCCAGCUCCUGACCCACAGUGCUCAUUGUAAUCCAGAACUGCGCUUCCCAGACACAAGCUUCAUCUUGGCAGGGAGCAGGUUCAUUUCUUAUGCAAGUAUUUGACAAUCCAACAAGGGAAGUUUGGCUGACUGUCUAAGACACAGGCUGCAGCACUGUGGACUAGCUUAGAUUAAGUCAUUACAAACCCUUCACGCAUUUGGCAGCAAAUAACAAAAAAAUCCUUCACAUCAUCAACUCCAACCUUUAAAAAAAGGAAAAAAAUCUUACAACAAUCAGGAAUCACACCUCUGAAAACUGUAAAAAGUUUAAAAAGUUUAAAAGUAAUAAAAAACUUUGAGUUAUUUUUAAUUAAAUGUGGAGCGUAUGUGCUUGUUGCAUGUCCAUGAAGGCCAGCAACUUCCUAGUUGAAAAUCAAAAAACGGACUCAAGCAAUGUUAGGAAGUCAGCAUUUGAUCACACCCCUUUUUCAAUACUGCAGCCACAAGCGGUUUCUUUUUCUCUGAUGCAUUUCGCUCCUACACACAGUUUGUUCUCUCACCAGACCACAGAGAAGCCUACAGAGCACGCAGAUGAUGUAACGCGCAGAUGUGCUGCUUUCUCAUGAAAGUCAACUUUCCAGUGCAAUUCCUGUAUCGAGGAAAAGAUCUGAAUUAAAAGAGUUAUCUCCUAAGGAGUCCUCUCUCUUCUUCUUCAUGUAUCAAGCCUUUUGCUGGAAAGUCGUAAUGGGAAAUUAGCCAGGCUUCAAUCCCGGCCAAUAUCUGAUAUGUGUAAAUUAGGAACGCUGCAGAAUAUUCUGCCGCGCAGCUUCGAGUUGCUGGGAAACCAGAGGUCGGGCAGCACUGAAAGGGCAGAUUAUUCCCAUCCCGGCAAAGGCACAGGGCUCCAUUCACCGCAUGGCCCCGGCUCUCGCUGCUGGCUGCAGCAGUGCCAUGACCCAGUGCUCCCGAGGCACAAGCACUCCUCAGCCCCCUGGGACUCCCGUGCUCAGCCCACAGCAGCUGCAGGCUUGCACAGCUCUCCAUGCCGAAGUUACCCCUUCCACCACCACAUAAAACUUGCUAUUUCACAUCACUACCAAGGACUUCGUUCAGUCUGGGGACAUCCAGGGGCUGCUUUACGUUCUAAAACCUGUAAGAGUGCAUUUCAGAUCCUUCAGAUACUUACAUUCAGAUACGGUGUUAGCGUGCAGAAGGACAAUCAAGCUUACAGAAGAAAGUCAUGAGGAUCCCCAUGAUCAGCACAGACAUCUAUCUGGCUGACAAGAGUUGCGUGAUGGCCUGGAUAAAUGACCCAGCUUAGUCCCGUAUAAUCAGUAUGCUAAUUACUCCUGCUUCUUUUAUCUCAGCACAUCUCAGAUAGCAUCAGUCUAACUUUGGCAUUUUUCUUAGGAUUUGGUCCUUCAUUCUUGCUGCUCUUCUAUCUCUACACAUUCUUACAUUAUGCAUUCAGGGCUUGCUCUGCAAAUCUACAACCAGCUAGAACACCAGAUACCAAGGCCAACUGAAAUGCGCACACAUCUGUGCGCGUUUGCAGGGGAAGAGCAGAAAAUGAAGGCAGUUGUUUGUUCUUCUGUAUGUGCAUAUCACAGAAAAAGGCAAUGCAUUUGUUCUCCUUGGACUCCUUUGUUGAAAUGCAACAGAUCCCCCCCUCUUUAAUUAAGAGUUGGAAAGUCUCCUACAUGACUUCUUUGAUGUUUGAGAGAACCACAUCAAAAUCAAAUUAGUUUUUUUUCUGUUAGUUCUGAAAUUUCCACCCUAAGCCAAACAAAAAGCCUCUUUACUGAUUUCUUGAUAUACUAUCUAAACAAAGGGUGGAGGACCUCUUUCCCUCCAUAUUCCCCCCAUGCAGAUCACAGCUAGCUGUGCUGCUGCAGUGUCCAGGCUGAAGGAACAGAUGAGUCAACAUCAGCGGCAGAAGCUUGGCUAGAGCAGCAGCAGCUAGCUACCCACGCUUCCUACCAACACUGCUAAUAAUUUCACUUGGCAGACCAAAAACAAACAAAAAGAACACUGUGAUUUCAUUGCUAGAGAUAAUAUACUGGCAAACGCUAACACUUGCAAACAAAGUGACCGUAUAUUUUUCUCUCACAAAAAAAGUUGCACCAACUUACUUGUUUGUUCCAGUUCCCGUGUAGCUUGUGAAAUAAGAGCUAACUACAGAGUCAAUUGACUUUGCAGUAUUUGCAUGAUCCAGAGUUACCCAAAAUAGAUGGCAAGAAUUCUCCCUUAACACCAAUAUGCCAUUUAAAAAAACAAUUAAUACAGCUAUUAAGUGAUCUAACUGCAUGUGUGUAUCUAUAUAAAUAUGUAUUUAUAUAGAUAUAGUAUAAGUAUCUGUAUAAAUAAUUAGAUACACAUACACAUAGAGAACGAAUUAUAACAGAUGAUAAAAUGACAUCAGUGCCUAAUUAAUUUAACCUUCAACCACCACCUCAGUGAUUUAACUGGGAUGCUACUGUUCAUCUCCAUGAAGCACGCAGAAUUUACAUUCAGGGACACUUAUCAAUGGCCCUUUGUUUCUCUAAGGCAAGUUCCACCUUUUCUUAGUUACAUGAAGCACAUGCU